UGGUUGUAAGCAAACCGCAAUAUCCAUAAUUCAUAGCGAUUUCAGGACAUAGUUAGUAUUGCCCGUGAAGGUGAAAAUGCACUUUCAACCAGAGGAUUUUGAAACUGAUGCCAGGUCACCGAACGUUGAAAAGUCAUGCUAUUCCAUCGAUUUCCCCUUCACUUCAAAGAGGAAGGCAUCCAUCAGCCAACAUAAGUGCAGCAGAAAAUAAAUCGAGCUGAGGUUACAUUAGCGGCAGCCUACCGGACCGUAUCUAACCGCAGAGGCAAAGGUGGCUAUGAGUUCUAUUUCGAGUCCGAUUCAAUCAACAUCUGCAGCAGCAUCAACAUCAAGCUCAGCACCAGGAACUAGUACUAAUCCUGCUGCUGAUGAUGACAACCUCUCCACCAGCUUUAACAGUAGACCCAUUGGAUGAAAGCUUUCAGCUGGGAACAAACUCAAGCUCAACAUAAUCUGACUCGGAAACAAGCCGGUACAGCCAAAGGAGACUUGCAGUACAAACAAAUCUUCUGCAAGAGGUGGGUGGUUAAGAAGGUGUACGAGCCCAGAACCCACUACUUCAGGGAGAGACUUGUCCACCUGACUGUGGAGCAAAGAAAGGACCAGAGAGUUGUCUACAAGGAGCCAGAGUCACAGCUUCCCAAACUCAACAUCCCUGCCAACAUCGCCACAGCGCCAGAGCCUGCUAAACCCGCUGCCAUGACCCAACACAAGACAAGGUUCACCAGCUGAAGAACAUUCUGGAACAUUAAACCAACACAACAUCCCUAUUCAGUUAGACUGAUGUUGUAGUAUACUAUAGAAUACCUAGUAUGCUCACAACGACAUUGUGGUAUAGAUAUUGCUAGCUCUUGUACAUAUGUUUCAUACAUAUGUUUAAAAAGUCAGACGCGAAGGAUUUACUUCAGACAGGAUUUACCCUCAUCCACAUAAUUCACAAGAGAAAGAGUGGGUAAUCUGCCUUUACCGUCGGUCCUAUUAGCCAACGUUCAAUCAUUGGAUAAUAAAAUAGACAAACUAUAAUCCUGUAUAUUCUACCAACAGGACAUUAAAAAAUGUAAUAUCUUAUGUUUCACUGAGUCAUGGCUGAAUGACUAAAUGAAUAACAUACAGCUGGCAGGUUUAAGCUGUAUCGGCAGAAUAGGACAGCCGCCUCUGGUAAGACAAGGGUGGCGAUCUAUGUAUAUUUGUAAACAACAGCUGGUGCACGAAAUCUAAUGAAGUAGAUGGCUUGUGGUGAGAUAUUGUGUAGCUAACGGUAAUCCGUCAGCAUAUUAAUUAGGAAAAUAUAAAAAAUGGCCUAUUACCUGGCUAUUCAAAAUACAAAUGGACUUUAAUUGUAGAAUAACUCCGUUAGCCGCUCUGCACAAUCAAUGAACCAACAGCGUUGCCUAGACCAGUGGUUCCCAAACUGUGGGACAUGCCCCCUAGGGGGGGUGCGACGGGUCAGCAAGGGGGGCACGGGGGUCCCCCACCUCCCAAAUGGAAAAAAUAUAUAUAAUAAUGGAACACAGUCCAGCUUUAAACUUUUUCUUGAAAGUCGUAAUAGUCGAAUGCACAAGGAGCAAAUUUGAAAUUGUUUAGCGUAUCAUCAGUUCCUCUUGUCAUGUUAGUCAUUGCAUACCUUAGAGUGCUAUUUCUAACUUUUCAUAAAUCAACUAGCCCAUGUCAGCUAAUGUUUUCUUAUCUAGGUUUUUUAGCCCAUAGAUAUUGUUGUCAUUUUUUUUGUCACUCAUUUAUGUCUAUUUAUUUUUUGUAUUUUACCCCCCUCUUUGUCCCCAAUUUUGAUCUUGUCUCAUUGCUGCAAUUCCCCAGCGGGCUCAGGAGGCGACGGUCGAGUGAUGCGUCCCCCGAAACCACGCUUCUUAGCACCCGCUUUAAUCCCCUGAAACCAGGCUUUUAAGCACCCGUCUGCUUAAUCAAGAAGCCAGCCGCACCAAUGUUUCGGAGGAAGCGCCAUUCAACUGACAUCCUAGUCAGCCUGCAGGCACCCGGCCAGCCACAAGGAGUCACUAGAACGCGAUGAGCCAAGUAAAGCGCCUCCCGGCAGACCGUCGCCUAACCCGGAUGACACUGGGCCAAUUGUGCACCGCGCUAUCGGACUCCCGAUCACAGCCGGUUGUGAUACAGCCCGAGAUCUAACCCGGGUCUGUAGUGAUGCCUCUAGCGCUGUGAUGCAGUGUCUUAGACAGCUGCGCCACUCUGCGCCAUUCAUUUUUUAGUCACUCAAAUUACACAAGAAACAUUAGACAUGGCAAAAUGUAUAGUAUUGCAAGAAAAUAUGCUUUUAAACUGCAAAAUGUGCUUUG